rnacentral:lncRNA from 1 species
GUAUAUAGGUAUGUUAAAUAUAUGACAAUUUACUUUCAAAAGUACCAAAAAGCAGAACUUUUAAAAUCAGUGCCAAAUAAAAUCAGUGUGGUACUUAUUUCUAGAACAUUAUCUAUCUCUAGAAACGUUUGGUAGAAGUUGCAUUAAUUGAUGUAAUAAGUGAGAGUCUCAUCAGUAUUUUGGGAAGUUUAACAUUUUCACAUAUCAGUGAGAUCCCACAUACUAUUUUUGUUUUUAAUUGUAUAAUACUAUUAAACUGCACUCACACUGAGGCACUUUAUAUGAAUACAGUAUUUUAGUUAAGGUGAGUCAAGGGAACGAUAUACCAAUUAUCUAGGGGCUAU